CAAGACCGGUGCCAGCCGCCGCGGUAACACCGGCGGCCCGAGUGGUGACCGUUAUUAUUGGGUCUAAAGGGUCCGUAGCCGGUUUGGUCAGUCCUCCGGGAAAUCUGAUAGCUUAACUGUUAGGCUUUCGGGGGAUACUGCCAGGCUUGGAACCGGGAGAGGUAAGAGGUACUACAGGGGUAGGAGUGAAAUCUUGUAAUCCCUGUGAGACCACCUGUGGCGAAGGCGUCUUACCAGAACGGGUUCGACGGUGAGGGACGAAAGCUGGGGGCACGAACCGGAUUAGAUACCCCGGUAGUC
rnacentral:rRNA from 1 species